rnacentral:lncRNA from 1 species
CCCAGGCUGCCCUAUCAUUUCCAUUCUUAAUCACUACAUUUGAUUUAUUUAUUUUUAAAGAUUUUUUUGAAUUUAUUUUUGAGAGAGAGAGAAUGAGCAGGGGGAAGGGCAGAGGGAGAAGCAGGCUCCCCACUGAUUGAGGAAACCCGAUGCAGGACUUGAUCCCAGGACCCUGGGAUCAUGACCUGAGCUGAAGGCAGAUGCUUAAACCAGCUGAGCCACCGAGGGGCCCCAAUAAAUACAUUUUAAAAAUUGAAAAGAGAUAGGUGAAAUUAGCAUAUCAUUUAACCCAAUAUAGAUUAAAAAUAUCAUCUGGGUUUUUGGAUUUUUGUUUGUUUGUUUGUUCGUUUGUUUUUAGGUAGAGAGCUGUAGGGAGGGGGAGCAGAGGGAGAGCUAGAAUUCCAAGCAGACUCCGGGCCCAAUGUGGGGCCCAGCGUGGGGCUGGAUCCCAUGACCCUGAGAUCAUGACCUGAGCCUAAACGAAGAGUUGGACUCUGAAACUGAUGGAACCAAACAGGCACCCCAGCCCCAAAAUAUUAUCAUUUUAACAUGUCAUCAACAGCAAAAUAUUAAUGAGCUGUUUUUUCUUUUUCAUUCUAAAUCUUUGAAGUCCAUUGUAUAUUUCACCCCUUAGCACCUGUGGAUUUGGACUCCCCACAUUUCAGAGGCUCUGUAGCCACAUAAGGCCGGUGCUGCCACAUUGGACAGUAGAGCUGUAAAUUAUUUAAUAACCCCUAGAAAGCCAGCAGAAGGUGUAAGUCACUGAGAAGUCCUGGUGUGGAGUGUGUGGAGAUCGCACGUGAACCCUGCUUUGGCAAGAGCCUGGUGUCCUGAUGAGCUGGGCCGGGCUCACCCCGCUCCCCACUUCCCCAGCAGGGAUUCCUGGGGAAAGCAGGUAUUCAAACGGGGCCUUGCUCACUUUCCCUUUCUUCCAGGAAGCAGGGAAUGGCUAUCUCCAGGAAAUGGGAUCUGCCCAGGCGUGGCAGCUGGGCAGUGGCACCCUUGGGUCAAUGAGCCUCAGUGGGAUGGGCAGCCAGGCAGGGGUGCUGGCGCAAGUACAGGGCACCCAGCCUGGGUCGAGGGAAUCAGAACAUGGGGAGGUUCCUCUGAGCAGGAAGCUGGAAGGAGAUCCUGAGUGAGGAAGAGCCAUCCCUGAGAGCAGAUCUCUGAUGGGAAGUCAAUCCAACCCUAUGAUCUCCUGGUCACCCCGCCCACCUGCCGGACUUCAUAUCUGACCCCCGACCCGCCUGCUGCCUCCGGAGCCCCC